CCUCCAGAUACUCAUUUCUGGGUGUAUGAAGAUGGUACAUAUGAGGAGGAAGGGUAGAAUAACAUUAAAGGAAACAUAUGGGGAAAGGCAUCCACCCGUUUCAUUUGUUCAUUAUUCUCAUUGCCUGUACCAUCUCGUAAUCAAAAUGGGGCAAUAUAAGAGCCUAUGACACAACCUUCAAGUAGGUCCAUCCCUGAAUACUUGGAUCAGGCAAGAGUUCAAAAACUUUUGUUAUUUGGUCUGGAGGGAUCUAGAACUAGCACCAUCUUCAAGCAGGCCAAGUUCUUAUAUGGGAACGAGUUCACUCCCGAGGAGGUGCAGAACAUGAAGCUCAUGAUUCAAAGCAAUAUGUACAAGUACUUAAGUAUAUCACAUGUGGAAUCUGAUGGAUACAACCAUGGAGGAGCAAAAGAAAUAUCAGAAUGUAACUAGUCGCAUAGCUACUUUAGAAUUUGAAAUCACUGAGCC